GUUAUAGACAUUACAAUAGAAAUUGUAGUCAUAUUAGAUAUGUUUUAAAAAUUGAGCAGAUAUGUUUUAGACAGGUCAUCUUCACCCAUGGCACAUCAAAGUUAAAACACUAAGUAUAAGGAACAAAGAGUAUGUUGAUAGCUGCAAGAGAAACAAAACAAAAAACAGAAGCCACAUAAAGCAAAGCCCACCAGAAUAACAGUUGAUCUCUCAGCUGAAAAUCUGAAGAGGCUGGGAUAAUGUAUUCCAAGUCCUAAAAGACUAUAAACCUACGACAACCACCCUAGACCAAUAAAACCACCAAAAUUAUCUGCCAUAAUUGGAGGAGAGAAGAAAACUAAGAUAUAAAUAGCCUAAAAAAUCUUUAUAUUCAACAAAUCAAACCUAAAGAAAAUACAAGAAGCAAUAUUUUGGGCUGAAGAGAGGAAUUAUAUAGUAGAAAGACAGUGGAAGAAGUAUGAGGCCAUAAUUAUGAAAACACGAAGUACCACUAAGAAUACAAACAAUAAUACCAGAAAUUAACAGCACAAAGACCACUAGUAACACACAUCCAAUACAUCUUAAUUUCAAUUGUCUCAACUCUCUAUCAAAAGAUACAAGCCGAUUGAAGGGAUCAAGGAACAAAAUCCAUCGAUUUAUUGUCUACAAGACACACAUCUUGGCUUUAAAGAGAGGCACCUCCUUAGAGUAAAAGGAUGGACAACAGUACUCCAAUCAAAUGGAACCAUGAAUCAGACAGGGAAACAUCAGAACUAACUGACAGCAUACAUCAAUACAUCAACUCAACAAUCAACCAGGUGAAAAGGAAGUCUAUAGAAGGGGUGGAAGUUAAGUCCUUGUUGCUGAAGAAACCAGAGGCCCCUGAGCUGGAACUCAUCUCAAUGUCUCUUCCCUGAGGACCAGUUUUCAUGGUGUCAGAAGCAUGCAAGUUUCCAAAGGAGAUAAGUGUAUCCUCACCCCCCAUCAAGGAAACUCCUCUUUGCAACAGAUGAAGAUCACUACAGUAAGCCACAACCUAUCAAAAUACAGAGCUGUGGAGUUCAGUCCUAAUGGACAUAUCUGCAAAACAACUCAUGCAUCUAAGGCCCAAAGGACAUUAUGGAAGAAGGGGCAGAAAGACAAUAAGAGACAGAGGAUCAAGGAGUUUGAUAUGAGACUGUAUCUCCUGGUUCUGUCAGGAGCUACAUCCAUAAAGUCUACAAACAUGACCAUCUAAACUUGAGCUGAAUGAGGAUAUAACAAGAGGCAUGCCAAAGUGGAUAUGGGAAAGGCAAGGCCUCAACCCUACAGAAAAAAAUAGAGUCUGAGCAGGUUAUAUUUAGGAAUAUACACAUAUAUACAUAUAUGCAUAUAACAACAAUUAAUGAAAAAAGAGGCCAUGAAUUUAAAAGAGAGA